UUUGGCACAGCGUCGUUUGGAAAGUGCACUUCCUUGUUCUGACCUUGCCUUUUAUGGGCUGGAGCGAUAUGAUUCGUGAAUAUGCCACGGCGAAGUUGUCGAAGAUGCGACAGUGCUACGCUGUUAGAACAAUUCAUCGGAGCAUUCAAGUGUUACCUAUUAUAAGCUGCCAAAAGACCAAGCAGUGCGAAGCUCUUGGCUGACAGUGGUGCCUGCUAAUUUCCACUGCAAGGAUUUCGUCCACGAUGUUAUCAUAGGUUACGCGCGACUCCAGAGGCAAUUUGGAAUCUCGGCACGAAAUCGUCUGAUGAAAAUCUGAGGUGCCCGACGCAUAACAUUUUGAACGUGCCACGGAGGAUCAAGGCAAAAAACGAGAGCAAAAAAUGGUGCACGCUGAAGGCGGAAAUGAAGCAUGAUCUGGCUUGCAUCUGGUCAUGAAGAAAUUGCUGACACGUUAGUUGCAGUCCACCUCCACCAACAGGGUGGAAAACAAAGGUCGCCAUUCCGAUUAGCUGCUAUCUCCCAGUUCAAGCACUUUUGUGUCUGGACACUGGUUCCUGUGGAUGGGGUGUUACAAGCUUCACUGUCUGAUAUAGAAGUGAUGAGCAUCCAUAAGGACACAUGCCAGAAAGGGAGUCUCUUUGGGAUGACAAACCCUCAUCACCUCAUGAGGAUACAAUGGUUGACGAAUGGUUCUCAAGCACAUCGAAACUUCCAACAAAUAAUUCAUGAAAAAGUCAGUCAGUGCUAGCACCAGGAAUUGA